rnacentral:misc_RNA from 1 species
CCGAGUACUCCAAGACUCCUACAACCCUGUGAACAUUACUAUAACACGUUGCUUCGGCGGUGUCUCGCGAGGGCCCUGCCUACCACGGGGCCGCCCCCGCCAGCAGGCCUACUAUACUCUGUCUCUUAUGCGUUUGCAUCUCGAGUAACAAGCAAAUCAAGUUA